UACGUAGGGUGCAAGCGUUGUCCGGAAUUAUUGGGCGUAAAGAGCUCGUAGGCGGUCUGUCACGUCGGCUGUGAAAUCCCGAGGCUCAACCUCGGGUCUGCAGUCGAUACGGGCAAACUAGAGUAUUGCAGGGGAGACUGGAAUUCCUGGUGUAGCGGUGAAAUGCGCAGAUAUCAGGAGGAACACCGGUGGCGAAGGCGGGGUCUCUGGGCAAUAACUGACGCUGAGGAGCGAAAGCGUGGGGGAGCGAACAGG
rnacentral:rRNA from 1 species